rnacentral:snoRNA from 1 species
UGUAUCACUGAUGAUAUUGUGGCUCCCUCUACUGAACUCUUAUGUGGAAGCCUGCCAUUGUUACCCAAUUUCUGUCUGAGAUGUG